rnacentral:tRNA from 1 species
AUUUAUAUAGUUUAAAAAAACAUUACAUUUUCAUUGUAAAAAUAAAAUUUAAUUAUUUUUAUAAAUA